CCUACGGGAGGCAGCAGUGAGGAAUAUUGGUCAAUGGACGAGAGUCUGAACCAGCCAAGUAGCGUGAAGGAUGACUGCCCUAUGGGUUGUAAACUUCUUUUAUAUGGGAAUAAAAUGUUCCACGUGUGGGAUUUUGUAUGUACUAUAUGAAUAAGGAUCGGCUAACUCCGUGCCAGCAGCCGCGGUAAUACGGAGGAUCCGAGCGUUAUCCGGAUUUAUUGGGUUUAAAGGGAGCGUAGGUGGAUUGUUAAGUCAGUUGUGAAAGUUUGCGGCUCAACCGUAAAAUUGCAGUUGAAACUGGCAGUCUUGAGUACAGUAGAGGUGGGCGGAAUUCGUGGUGUAGCGGUGAAAUGCUUAGAUAUCACGAAGAACUCCGAGUGCGAAGGCAGUUCACUGGACUGCAACUGACACUGAGGCUCGAAAGUGUGGGUAUCAAACAGGAUUAGAUACCCCUGUAGUC
rnacentral:rRNA from 1 species